UACGUAGGGGGCAAGCGUUGUCCGGAUUCAUUGGGCGUAAAGAGCGUGUAGGCGGCCUGAAAGGUCAGCUGUGAAAACUCGAGGCUCAACCUCGAGACGUCGGUUGAAACCAUCUGGCUAGAGUCCGGAAGAGGAGUGUGGAAUUCCCGGUGUAGCGGUGAAAUGCGCAGAUAUCGGGAAGAACACCCGUGGCGAAGGCGAGUCUCUGGACAUUUCCUGACGCUGAGGCACGAAAGCCAGGGGAGCAAACGGG
rnacentral:rRNA from 1 species